ACCCUCCAGAUUCCUUACCGAUCACACCUAACCCCCGGUCAGAAUGGUUAGAAAAGGAAGAAAAGGAAAGAUGAACGGACUUGAAUUCUUUUGUGACAUACGAGCUAGUUCAUUUAUUUACUU
rnacentral:snoRNA from 1 species